GACGAACGCUGGCGGCGUGCUUAACACAUGCAAGUCGAACGGUAAGGCCCUUCGGGGUACACGAGUGGCGAACGGGUGAGUAACACGUGGGUGAUCUGCCCUGCACUUCGGGAUAAGCCUGGGAAACUGGGUCCAAUACCGGAUAGGACCACUGCCUGCAUGGGUGGUGGUGGAAAGCUUUUGCGGUGUGGGAUGGGCCCGCGGCCUCUCAGCUUGUUGGUGGGGUGAUGGCCUACCAAGGCGACGACGGGUAGCCGGCGUGAGAGGGUGACCGGCCACACUGGGACUGAGAUACGGCCAAGACUCCUACGGGAUGCAGCAGGGGGGAAUAUUGCACAAUGGGCGCAAGCCUGAUGCAGCGACGCCGCGUGAGGGAUGACGGCCUUCGGGUUGUAAACCUCUUUCAGCACCGACGAAGCGCAAGUGACGGUAGGUGCAGAAGAAGGACCGGCCAACUACGUGCCAGCCGCCGCAGUAA
rnacentral:rRNA from 1 species